AAUCAUGUGGGUUAAACGACCAUGGACCUUCUCUGUGGGUUCUAAAAUUGCCCAAAAAUCCCUCUCUUCAUCUCCUCCUAUAACAAUUUGGGCUAUUAUUUUCUGAGGACCAUAUGAUUGGCCUUAUUUGAUGACAUCAAGAAUCCAUCUUACUCGAUCUAGUCUCUCUCGGAUUGGAUAUUUGUGUCUUGAUGGAUCGGGCUUUAUUUCUAGGUUUCAUCUCUAUUUUCUUGGUUAAGGCUU
rnacentral:lncRNA from 1 species